GAAAUGCGAUAAGUAAUGUGAAUUGCAGAAUUCAGUGAAUCAUCGAAUCUUUGAACGCACCUUGCGCUCCUUGGUAUUCCUUGGAGCAUGCCUGUUUGAGUAUCAUGAAAUCUUCAAAGUAAAUCUUUUGUUAACUCAAUUGGUUCUGCUUUGGUAUUGGAGGUUAUUGCAGCUUCACACCUGCUCCUCUUUUUGCAUUAGCUGGAUCUCAGUGUUAUGCUUGUUUCCACUCAGCGUGAUAAGUUAUCUAUCACUGAGGACACAGUAAAAAGGUGGCCAAGGUAAUUGCAGAUGAACCGCAUCUAAUAGUCCAUUAAUUUGGACAAAAUUUUUAUGAUCUGAUCUCAAAUCAGGUAGGACUACUCGCUGAACUUAA
rnacentral:misc_RNA from 1 species